rnacentral:lncRNA from 1 species
GCCGGAGUCCGGAAGCUGACGGCGGUGCGUGGAAAUCGUCGCGGAGUUCAGUGUUUUGCUUUUGGGGAUCACAAACUCAGGGGCACACUGGCCCGGCGGGCGCAUCCAGCCGUUGGCGUAUGUGUGGGCAGAAAAUGCAGACGAGAAAGUGGGUGGCGCUUGGCUAAUGCGGGCUGGAGCCCUUGACUUGGAGUGCCCAGUCCAGCGCCGCGGUCCUACAGAGGCCCCUGGGAUCUGAGCUGGCGAGGGUGGCGCGGCGGGUCCUACCCAAGGCCAGAAAGUUCGCUGCGGUCCCAGCUCUUUUGGGCAGCCUCUCUGAGGUAGAGCUCUCAGACGGUCUUCAGCCCGGUGGAACGCC